CUUGAUAAAGCCCAAUGUGUGGGCAAAAUGUUGUCAAUAAAGGAUCACAUACUGCUUCUGUGUUUAUUUUUCCAUUGUGCUGGUAUUCUAUACCAUUUAUUUCCAGAAACAACCCCUAACAGCUGCAUGCAUGGAUCCAUCAAACCGGCACUCUAUGCCUCGACAUCAGCUAGGCAGCAUCCAUCUGCAUCAACCUCCAACAGUCAUUGCCCAAUUUCAUCUGAAUCAGUGAGUGUUAUUAGUUUUCCUGACAACGCAUUCAGCUUUUGAAAGAAGGACUCUAAUUUGAUUCUUGCGUCAGUGGAGAUGUGGGACUUAAUAUUCUACUGACUGAAAUUUUCCUGAAACCUAUCACUGUGCACAAUCUGGGCAAGGUUGCCUUGGACCAAUAGAGCAUCUCUUCAUCACAUCAGGACCAAUCAGAGAUACACCCUUCUCGACUAACUGGGAAAAGCACAUUUGGAGAAUUCACAAACACUGGAAAAGUACAUUGUGCACCAAAAUGUUUCCCAGUCAGGAUUACCAUGCUUUACACCAUGGAGGAGAGUUCAUAAAAAUUUCACAUAACAGCACUAAUUACAAAUGUUGAAAAGUGACAUUGGCAAAGCGACGGAGGAAUUUUGUGUAAAAAUGGGCAAGGGAAAAUUUAAUCCCAUGGUCGUCUCGAUAUCCCACUUCCGAUGAAACUUAUAUUCCAUCACUGGACACUUGGAACAACAUAUGGGGAACCUGCCUAUUGGACCAACUUACAGAUGAAUGCCAGGUCAUUCUGCAUACAAGGAGUGCAAAAUGGGUGGUCCCCCUCCCCCAACAAUAGCAACACUGCAGUCCAACUGCAGAAGGAUGAUGUCAACUUCGUUGAUAUAUUGGGCUCUGAUUUCACAAGUUAACUUUGAUAUGAUGCUGAGGAACCACCCACAGAGAAGUUAUCCAAACGCUGGUAACUGAAAUGUGUGAUGACUAAUGGGUACACACACACACCAGCCUUCUAGGAUGCAGUGGUUAGUUCAAUACAUAUAAUGACUACCACUAAAGAUUAUCAGCACAAGGUUACAAAUUGUAUUGUCUGCUUAUGAGUACUGUGUUCAAGGAUAUACUACUGACUUGGUGGCUCAUCUUGUCUUUCACACAAACCUACAUGCACACAAAAGAAAAAAAGUGGACCCUCUCCUCCCCCUCCUUUGAACAUUAAUUAACAUCUCUUCAAUGACUUUUACUGAUAUCCUUUUUUUAGAUAGGGGUCAAUCACCUUCCAGCAAUAGACAAAUGUUAGGCCACCCAGACUUGGAUUAGUCAGUGGAAGACAGGAUGCCUGGCAAGAUAUUCAAAGUUAUCUGAAGUCUAUUGCACCUAAAUAGCAACAAAAAUCAAUAAAUAACUGCACGAGUUCUUCAAAAUUAGAUCCUUACAGUGCUUGUCAUUAAAGUACCCUACUCUGAUAGGUAGGGUAUCUGAUAGGUGGGAUAUCUUGGUAUUUCCAAAGGCAACUGGCUGCAUGCUCAGAGCCUUCUAGUCUUAAGGUGGAAGGGUGCAUGUCUUGUCUCCCUAGGCCGUGUUCUCUUGAGUGAAGUGUUUAACAUUUUUGGGUCUAGAUGAAUUAAUGUAAGAAAGAAUAAGUAGCUUACACAAGACAAUUGCACACUUCAUUAGAUUACAUAGGUAAGUCCUCAAAUGAAAAAUAGAAGCCACUGGCAUCAGAACGUUCAAUGAGGAACUGAUUGGAUCUGUUAUGUGAGGGUGAUGACAUGCCUACACCAAAAUCACAUCCAGGGAAGCUAAGACAAAUGUCCCCAUGCUUGUUAAUUGUAAUACAGUAUUAUAAUUAAUGUCUGUGGGGGAUGUUUCAAGGCUUCCCUGGUUGUGCUUUUAGCAUGGGCAUAUCACCACCUUCUAUUUCCUUCAUUUGAUGGCCCAGCCUUAUGCAAUCUGAACGAUUUGUGCAACUGUCUCUUGUAAAGUAAAAGGACACAAGUGCAACUAAUGUGACAUUUUAGUGUGGCAACGUUUCGCUCUCCAGGAGCUUUAUCAAGCCAUUGCAAACAAUACAUGGACACAGAUGGUAUAUAUAGGCUCAGAGUGAGGUACAAUACUAGUGGUAGUAGUAGUGAUAAAAGUUGUAGUAGUAGUAAUAUAAUAUGGUAGAGCAAUUAAUUCGUACAUGAGUAAAAGGAUAUAAAAGCUAUUACUUGGGUAACAUAAAAAUAGGUUGGACAAAUGUAGACUGGAUAGAGGCAGCCAGCUUCAGUGUUCACUCUCUGUAAUGUGCUUUGUGUAGUAUAACAGGAGAGACUAUGUGAUGGCAGGGUUUACUGUUUUCAGGAGGAUUCUUGCUAAGACUUCAGAGAUGGUGAAGCUGCCGUUGUUUUAUUUAAUUGUAUUCGAAACAGCGAUCAGUGCUGAUUCGAGGCACUUGCGUCUGCGGAAAUUAGUUUCUUUGAUCACUAAUUGGGCGUCCCUGAAUUUCAUGAGAUGACUGGUGGAAUUUCGGUGUUGUACACAGGCGUUGUUCAGGUUAUCGUUCCUACAUGCGUAAAUGUGUUCAUUGAGGCGGGUGUCGAGGUUUCUUGCUGUUUCACCUCGACACCCGCCUCAAUGAACAUCUGCAUUAAGAAGCUAUGACAAAAGUGAAUUUAUAACAGUCUAAUAAAAAACACGAUAUGAACUUUAGUGAACAGGUUUAAUGCUUAAUUUGAUUACAUUAUUGUAUUCUCAAGAGGAGAUAGAGAUGUUGGAACUAGGAUAAAAGUUGGGGAUGAUGCAAAGAACUUUAGGUAGAAGGGAAUUUGCUAAUUUGUGCUAUUUAACAAAAAUUUAUUUUUGAUGCAUAAGCAGCAUCUCACACACACACAUACAAAA